rnacentral:tRNA from 3 species
AGGACUAUAGUUCAGCGGUAGAAUCCUCCCCUGUCACGGGAGUGGUCACGGGUUCGAAUCCCGUUAGUCCUGCCA